ensembl:lncRNA
AUCCCUAACUCCUGGACCUGCUCCCCUCUCUCUCCCUCCUUCUCUGGCCUGCUCUGCCUUUGUCCCCAUGCUACCCUUUCUCCUUCUUAUCUUUCUUUUUCCCUUUCAGUCCUUACUUCCUAAGUGACCUUAUUGCAGAACAGGAGGAUAUUUCUUAGAUGUUAUUCUUCCAGGAUAGAAUUUCCUGUUUCCUGUUCUAUGUUUAAAACAUUCAGAGAUGAUUAUUUAUUUAAAAUUUGUGUUUUAACUUCGUUGUUUUUAAUUUCUGUGACCCUCAAUAGAUUUUUUUUUCCCUUCUCUGACCCUUGAUAGAAAAAAGUCUUCAUGUCCCUACUUUGAACUAUAAUGGCUGGAUUGAGUCUCUAUAUGUCGUCCUUGGCUAUAACACAGCACACGUUUUAGUAAAUUCUUCCUUGAUGAAAAGGUCCUUUCUUUAAAGUCCAAGGGUUCCAAUUGGAAAUUAGCAUGACCUGUCCAAAUUAAAAAUCUCUGGAGUUCCCGCUGUGACACGGGGGUUAAGAAUCUGACUGCAGCCGUGCCAGUGGUGAAAGAUUUGAUCCCUGGCCAGGGAACUUGCCUAUGCCAUGGAUGCAGCCAAAAAAUAAAGGAAUAAAUAAAAUGAAAACAGACAUCCCUAAAAAAAAAAAAAAGCUCUGCGUAUGACCUGGGGAUUGAGGAUUUCUUACCACAGAAAGUCGAUACAAAGAGAGACUUAAGGUUAAACUGGUGUCAGUAAUCAACAUUGCAAAUAUACUGCUACCUCCUGACAAAGAACAGUAAAGAGUUUUAUUGGCAGCAAAUGGGGGGGGAAGGAUGAUAAGCAACAACAAACCUUGAAAGAAAUAAAAAAAAGCCUAGUUCUCAAAAACCUAAAAUUAAACUUUUACCUCAAUUCUGAUACUAUUUUAGCAGCAUGUGCAGGGCCUCCAGCUGCUACAUCCUGAAGUGUGAUCCUGUCGCUGUCACAGUUGAAGGAAGACUGUGUCCCAGCAGUGCCUUGACUAAGAGGCCUCUCUCAGAGAUACGAGGGUGGCAUCGGAUGGCGCUCCAGCUACCACAAGAAGCGCUGGCUGCUCCCUCUCCUCCUUCCCAGAACACUGACUUCUCCAGUUCUCCCAGUGGCAUACCAACUUCUACCCUUUCUCUAUCCCAUUUUCAGAUUUCCAGUUCUUACAAAAUUUCUUUGAGGCUCACCCAAGCUUAAAGCUGAUGAACCACAGAACAGGUUGGAACCAGAGCUGUGUCUUAAAAAUAGGAAUCAUUUCUAAAUUAAUUGACUUGAAGUCAAUACUUUCCCACCAUGAAGCCUAUUACAUAAAUGAAUAAAACUAUAGAGUAAUGAAUUAAAGCUAAUUUU